CCUACGGGGGGCUGCAGUAGGGAAUCUUCCGCAAUGGACGAAAGUCUGACGGAGCAACGCCGCGUGAGUGAAGAAGGUUUUCGGAUCGUAAAACUCUGUUGUCAGAGAAGAACAAGUUGGAGAGUAACUGCUCCAGCCUUGACGGUAUCUGACCAGAAAGCCACGGCUAACUACGUGCCAGCAGCCGCGGUAAUACGUAGGUGGCAAGCGUUGUCCGGAUUUAUUGGGCGUAAAGCGAGCGCAGGCGGUUCCUUAAGUCUGAUGUGAAAGCCCACGGCUCAACCGUGGAAGGUCAUUGGAAACUGGGGAACUUGAGUGCAGAAGAGGAGAGUGGAAUUCCAUGUGUAGCGGUGAAAUGCGUAGAUAUAUGGAGGAACACCAGUGGCGAAGGCGACUCUCUGGUCUGUAACUGACGCUGAGGCUCGAAAGCGUGGGGAGCAAACAGGAUUAGAUACCCCAGUAGUC
rnacentral:rRNA from 1 species